AGAUCUGCUCUGAAACAGAAAGAUGAAGAACUGAAAUCAGUCAAAGACAGACUGAAAAGAGAAGAUGAUGUUAAAUCCAGCUGCCAACAAUGUGAACGGCAGGAAUGUGAACACAAAGAAAGUUUGACUGAGAUGGAAACAUUUUACAAAGAGAAACUUCAUGAGGCAAGAUCUGCUCUGAAACAAAAGGAAAAGGAGCUGAAAUCAUUCAAAGACAGAGUUGCACCUGACUUGGCUCUUUCAAUAAAGACAGGAGACACUGAGAGCAUGAACAACCCAGUCAGUAAAACCAAACUGACAGAGAUGUAUAACAAACUGAAACUGCUGCAGUGGCCUAAAAUCAAAGAUCAUCUGAAAUCUAAUGCUGUGAGCAGAGAGUUUACCAGAGAUCUGACUCAGAAAAUGUUUAAAGAUGCAGCAGAAGAAAUGAGAGAAAGAAGAAGCAGAUAGAUGAAGUGUUUGGACUGAUUGAGAACAGCAGUGGACUAACACCUCAGAAGGUCAAAGAGUUCAGACAGUUAACAAUUCACAGUCUUCAGAUGAAUCUGUACCACAGCAGGAAAGAAGAUCUUCUUCAGAGUCCUUUCCUUGAUGAUGAAGCUCAGUACUCCCAAGAUGUGAUGGAGAACUUCAGACUUCUGGCCUCUGAAUGCUACUGGUUGGGUUGUUUGAUGGCUUUAAACAAUCCUCCUCUUCAGCCGGACUGGGAGAAUCAUGUUCCUGGGAUGGACGCCUGGGACAUUUUCCCACGAAACAUCAAGUCUGUUUAGAUCAUGAAGAGGAGACAAUGAAGUCAGCAAUGAUGAGAAAACCUGAGUGUUUGUCAGGGAUCAAACAUCAUCAAUUCUAUCAUCAAAGGUUUUCAUGCAAGGUUUUCUUUGACUUCUUGGUUUCAUGUGUGUGAGUGUGCCAGAUUAAUCGAAGUUAACUAACUUUGAUUAUUUAAAAGCUUAUCAGUGCAAUUUAUAUGUCACUGCUGAUUAUGUAUUUAUAAAUUGUUUAAUUUUUGUAAUUAUAGUUAAGUAGACUUUUGGAAAAUUACUUUUGUCAUAUGACUUAUCACAGCUACUGUUCUACUUAAGCUACUACUACAUCUAAAAUUUGCUUUUCAAAAUGCAUUAAAAACAGUAAAGGUAUUAUAGGUGUCUGUGGCUCAUUGAGGCCCUCACUGGGGAAAUACAACUAUCUUAUUAGAGUCUAUGAUACAUAACUUAUUUAAUAAGUCAAGUCAGUUUUUAUUUAUAUAGCACCAAAUCACAACAAAAGUUAUCUCAAGGCACUUUUCAUAUGGAGCAGG